rnacentral:lncRNA from 1 species
ACUUUUUAUUUUCUGCGAUUAUUACAGGUUUAUUUGCCUACUGCUCAUCUUUUGUUUGUGUAAGAGUGACAGUCUGAUGAGGAUUCAUCCUUUGGCUCGUCCAGGCUCAUUAUCCACAUCCAGACUGCUCAUCCAAGAUAUUUGUACUUUAGACCUCCACACCAUUCGACAGCAUGCUCGUAUCUCAAUCGAUAUCCACGAUCAUAGCCGUGGCACUGCAGAGUCCACUCCUUCACCUUUCCUACAUCCCUCAUC